rnacentral:rRNA from 1 species
GACUGAGUGGCGGACGGGUGAGUAACGCGUGGGUAACCUGCCCUAUACAGGGGGACAACAGUUGGAAACGACUGCUAAUACCGCAUAAGCGCACAGUACCGCAUGGUACAGAGCGAAAAACUCCGGUGGUAUAGGAUGGGCCCGCGUCUGAUUAGCUAGUUGGAGGUGUAACGGACCACCAAGGCGACGAUCAGUAGCCGGCUUGAGAGAGUGAACGGCCACAUUGGGACUGAGACACGGCCCAAACUCC